GAUGAACGCUGGCGGCGUGCCUAAUACAUGCAAGUCGAGCGAACAGACGAGGAGCUUGCUCCUCUGACGUUAGCGGCGGACGGGUGAGUAACACGUGGAUAACCUACCUAUAAGACUGGGAUAACUUCGGGAAACCGGAGCUAAUACCGGAUAAUAUAUUGAACCGCAUGGUUCAAUAGUGAAAGACGGUUUUGCUGUCACUUGUAGAUGGAUCCGCGCCGCAUUAGCUAGUUGGUAAGGUAACGGCUUACCAAGGCAACGAUGCGUAGCCGACCUGAGAGGGUGAUCGGCAACACUGGAACUGAGACACGGUCCAGACUCCUACGGGAGGCAGCAGUAGGGAAUCUUCCGCAAGGGGCGAAAGCCUGACGGAGCAACGCCGCGUGAGUGAUGAAGGUCUUCGGAUCGUAAAACUCUGUUAUUAGGGAAGAACAAAUGUGUAAGUAACUAUGCACGUCUUGACGGUACCGAAUCAGAAAGCCACGGCUAACUACGU
rnacentral:rRNA from 1 species